rnacentral:ncRNA from 1 species
GGGUCUUGGGGGGCGUCCCCAAGAGGAUUGUUCUGAUGGCCGGGCCGCCAUCUG